rnacentral:misc_RNA from 1 species
AUAGAUGUCACUUUAUUUGUUUUCUUCUUUCCCCAUUUUUGCCCCACAAAUUAAUCUGUGAUUACUGUUAAAAGUAAAAUGUUUAAAUGCAAGAAAUCAUUCUUCGUUAAUAAUGUUACAUUCUUUACGAGACGUAGCGUGAUAAAUGUUGUACCUUCUAUUCAAUGCAAAAACUACUCGUCUGAUAAUGAAAGAUAUUUACACAAGUCAAAAGUUCCAACAAUGCACUUUCAACCUUCUCUACCCCGUCUCCCAAUCCCAAGUCUCGAGGAAACCUGCCAGCGUUAUCUGAAUGCUCAAUUACCUUUACUAGAUCCUACACAUUUUGAGGACACAAAAAAGUUGGUUGCCAACUUCCAGUUAGAGGAGGGAAAAGAGCUCAACCAAAAACUAAUUGCGCAAGAUAAAGCCAACAAGCACACAAGUUACAUUACUGGGUCAUGGUUUGACAUGUAUUUGAGAGAUCGUCAACCUAUUGUUUUGAACUACAACCCAUUUAUUUCAUAUGUUGAUGAUCCAAAGACAGCCUACAAUGAUCAAGUUAUCAGAGCUGCUAAUUUCCUGAUCUCAGCUAUCAGGUUCAGGGAAACCAUGAAUGCUGGUCUACUUGAACCUGAAGUUUAUCACAUGAACCCAAAAAAGAGCGACACUGAUACGUUCCGCAAAGUUGUUCGCAUGCUGCCAUCCUCGCUGUCGUGGUACGGCGCCUACUUUUACAAAGCUUUUCCAUUGGAUAUGUCUCAGUAUUCCAGCUUGUUCAAUUCAACUCGAAUUCCAGAAAUUGGCAAAGAUCGCCUCGCUCGUUUCGAGAAAGCAAAACAUGUUCUGGUAAUGCGAGGCGGUCAUUUCUACGUAUUCGACGUUUUGGACAAAGAUGGAAACCUGUUGGAACCACUAGAUAUCUACGCUUGUUUAAAGUGGAUCCAGCAGGAUCCGAUUUCACCUUCCCGGGAUCCGAUUGGUUAUUUAACGGCGGAAAAUCGCGACACGUGGGCUAAAGCCCGUCGACUUUUGAUGGAAAACAAUAGCAGUCAGAUGGAAGCUAUCGACAGCGCUUUGUUUAACUUGGUAUUGGACGACGUUGGUACCGACAACGAUCCAGUCAAAAUAUCCAAGCUGUUUCUCCACGGCAACGGGGCUAACCGGUGGUUCGACAAAUCUUUUUCUCUUAUCGUUGCUCGGGACGGCAAGGCUGCCGUCAAUUUCGAGCAUUCAUGGGGGGAUGGAGUGGCUGUGAUGAGAUUUAUAAACGAGUCGCACAAAGAUUCGAUCGAAAAACCUCGAGUACACCCCCACGAAGUCGCCGGGAUGCUUCCACGUCGCGACGUCGAUCCGUCACAUCAUGUCAGACGUCUUGAAUUUCAACUGAGUGAUCAGCUCAAAACGGCAGUCAGUGACGCUCGGCAGCAUUUCGAUCAAAUGACGGGCCCUCUGGCAGUCGACUUAUUUAUCUACGAGGGUUUUAGUAAACACUUUUGCAAGGAAAAGCAAGUCAGCCCAGACGCAAUGAUGCAGCUAGGCUUUCAGGUGGCCUAUCAACUACAGAAUGGCGGUACAUGUGCCACCUACGAGUCAUGCAGUACUGCCGCCUUCAAGCACGGACGGACGGAAACGAUUCGACCGUGUACUUCACAGACUACUGCCUUCAGCCGUGCCAUUACCUCUUCUUCGGGCAAGCAUAGUCUGCCGGAAUUGCGUGCCAUGAUCGCCGAUUGUUCGAAAGUUCACGGCCAGUUGACUAAAGAAGCAGCCAUGGGUAAGGGGUUCGACCGUCAUUUGUUUGCCCUUAAAUAUCUGGCCCAGCAACAGUCAUUGCCCAUCCCAGCUUUGUAUCAAGAUCCAGCUUAUGCGGCCAUCAAUCAUAACAUUCUAUCAACGUCAACCCUGGGAAGUCCGGCGGUCGAGCUGGGUGGAUUCGCCCCGGUCGUCCACGAUGGAUAUGGACUCGGGUACUCGAUCCAGGACAACCGACUGGGCGCUGUGGUGACCACUUACCCCCCACACCGAUGCGGCUCGGAUUUCGUUUCAUGUUUACAGUCUGCCUUCCGCCGGAUCGAAGAUGUCUUGCGCCAGAAGAUGUGAUUCUGCAGCCAUCCGCUGCUGUUUUUCGUGCUAGAUCGUUUGGCUAUCAGCAAUAACAAUAUAACAGUGGCGAGAGAAUGAGAAAGGUCGAAACUCUUCUUCUCUGUUGUACAGUACAAAAACACAAUAGAUGCGGUCGGGAUUCGUAGGAUGCAGUUGUAGUAGUACUGGGAGUAGAAGACUAUUUGUAUUGUGUGUCACAAUGAACGGCCGGGUCACAAUCUAGUCACACACACAGAACAGUGCUCAGACGUCUAGAGUAUAUAUAAGAGUUCUAGGGGGAGUCACUCCUGAUGUUCUGGGUGUGUAUGUGUGUGUGAUCCCCUCAUUACACGUCCCGUUCAGCCGGCGCGUUGCUGGGCAACAGCCAAUCAGCCUUUCUUUUCAACCAAAAAGAAGAAAUAUAUAGAAAAUCAAAAUAAUGGAACGUGUGACGAGGCAUGGCC